rnacentral:rRNA from 1 species
UACGGAGGCAGCAGUGAGGAAUAUUGGUCAAUGGGCGAGAGCCUGAACCAGCCAAGUAGCGUGCAGGACGACGGCCCUAUGGGUUGUAAACUGCUUUUAUGCGGGGAUAAAGUUCACUACGUGUAGUGUUUUGUAGGUACCGCAUGAAUAAGGACCGGCUAAUUCCGUGCCAGCAGCCGCGGUAAU